UGAGGAAUUUUGCGCAAUGGGAGCAAUCCUGACGCAGCAACGCCGCGUGGGUGAUGAAGGCCUUCGGGUCGUAAAGCCCUGUCAGGUGGGAAGAAUGUCCCGGGACUGAACAGGUUUCGGGAGUGACGGUACCAUCAGAGGAGGCACCGGCUAACUCCGUGCCAGCAGCCGCGGUAAUACGGAGGGUGCAAGCGUUGUUCGGAUUCACUGGGUAUAAAGGGUGCGUAGGCGGCGCGAUAAGUCAGGGGUGAAAUAUGUCGGCUCAACCGACAAACUGCCUCUGAAACUGCCGCGCUUGAGGUCGGGAGAGGAAGGUGGAAUUCCAGGUGUAGCGGUGAAAUGCGUAAAUAUCUGGAGGAACACCAAUGGCGAAGGCAGCCUUCUGGCCCGAUUCUGACGCUGAGGCACGAAAGCCAGGGGAGCAAACG
rnacentral:rRNA from 1 species